AUUGGCAAAGAAUGUCUUACGCUCCUAUAUCCAGCAUGUUUCCCGCUUAGUUCAGAGUACUUCAUCCCUCCAGUCUAGCUGCUAAACUACCCCCAGAAGAAUCCUUCAAAGAGAGACAAGCUAGUUGUAAGAGACUGAGGAAUUUUGAAGGUGAGGACUCUGGAGGCCACAGGAUGAAGCAGAAGAGACCGAAAAUGCACACCGCCUGGAUCCUUGAGUCACCAUGGAGCACAAAAAAGUUGCCUGAUCUGUAUUCAUCUUUACAUGAGCAAGAAAUAAACAUUUGCUCAACAUCAGGGAAGCAGGUCCUACUUCAUAAUGUGAGUGAGCCUCCUCUAAUCAGUUGAAGACCACAAGAGAAAAGACUGAAGUGUCCAAAAGAAGAAAUUCUGCCUCCAGACUACCUUUGGACUUAAGACUGCAACGUCAUCUCUUCUCUAGGUCUCCAGUGUGCUGAUCAACCCUGCAGAUUUCAGACUUCCCAACCCACAAUGCUGUGAGCCAUAUCCUUAAAAUGAAUCUCUCUUUCUGUACAUAUAUAUGUCAUUCAUUCUGUUUCUCUAAAGAACCCUGACUAAAUUACAUUUCGGUGGAGAAUGUAACAAUCUAAAUAUGAUCAAUUGUUAUAGAACAUAUAUCUGACAGUUUGUGAAUGUAAUAAAUUCUAAA